rnacentral:lncRNA from 1 species
AAAGAGAGUGAGAGGAGAGAGUAGCUCUGAAGGUGAAAGUCCAAGAAGGAGUUCUUGAGCUGUGAAGGUCCAUCUUCUUCCUUCUCCUUUUCAGCCAACCUUCUGCCUCCCUGCGAGCUAGCACUCUCCGGGAGCUGAUCAUUUCGGAGCUUCGCGUAGACGAGUCAUCGAGGCCGGACGCUUGUGCGGCUGCGAAGCAUCCUUGAAGGAACCCCCUUCUAAAGGUAAGAGACCUGAUCUCUUUUACGGUUGAGAUAUGAUCUCAAUCUUCAAAUCACAAGAAGUUGUGAUUUAUGCAUAUUUAUUUGAAUCACACAAUCCUCGGGAUCUGAGGGCUUUGUGAUAUUUGGUGUCAAUGCAAAGGAUUAGUGGAGACUAUCCGAUUCUCGGAAACUCUCACGCGUGAUCGUGUGACGAAGCGUGGCUCUCCACCCGGGGGCUCAUAUGAUGAGUGCUUUGAUAGGCACGUGCGGGUGUCACCCUAUGUAUUGGGACUGAGCCCGUGCCACAUGUGAUGUGCAGUUGAAGAUUGUCUUCGACUGGUACCAGAGUUAAAAUAUCUAAAAUAUUAAGCAUGUUAUGGGUUAAAAUGUUUAACCCGUUCUUUCCGCAUAAAAAUUUUCUGAAAUUCAUGCUUAGCCCUCUGCACGCAUACUAUCAUACAUUUUACGGAACGUGACCAAUUUCAGAACGCUCUACUAUCAAGAGAUGUUCCGAGUGGAUAUGGGUAUAAGUUUGGCCCUCUGACUUGAGACCGCAAUCUGUGACUAGCAAGCAACUCAUUAUACUUUGGUACCAGACUACUUGGAUUUCUAAUUCAGUGACGGAAGGUCACUGGGUGUAGUCAAGUACUUGCAUAGUUAGUUGUGAGUCGAGAUGGAAUUGACCCCUCCUGAAAAUAGGAGAUAAUGUCUUGUGAUUAAUUUAGCAAAAUCUUGGCCAGGAUAAUCCCAGUGAGGAGUCACGGGAUAUCUAAAGGUAAUCACAUAAUGGAUGUACUAAUUAUAGGGUUGACAGUGAGCUCUAAGUCAUCCUGGUAUUAGGAGUCAAAGGGAUUGAAUUAUACAGUAACCAUAGUUUAGGGUUCCAGAAUAUUUGCUUCGCAUAGCAAGCUAGCACUU